rnacentral:rRNA from 1 species
UGCGCAGGCGGUUGGGUGUGUCAGAUGUGAAAUCCCGAGGCUUAACCUCGGAACUGCGUCUGAAACUACUCGACUAGAGUACUGGAGAGGGUAACGGAAUUCACGGUGUAGCAGUGAAAUGCGUAGAUAUCGUGAGGAACACCAGAGGCGAAGGCGGUUACCUGGACAGUUACUGACGCUCAGGCACGAAAGCAUGGGGAGCAAAAGG